rnacentral:lncRNA from 1 species
AGAAAAGCUUAGACAUUCAUAGGAAUAAGACCUCCAGCUAUUUAUGGGUUGAUUACAAGCUCAGUAUGAUUCAAUUGAUGAUUAGAUAGUAGACAUCACCUGUUACGAUUGGAGCCCUGUGGCCAAGAGGACGCCUGUGAACUAUUUCACCUGAUUAGGCCACGCUGGGAUUUUUUGCUUGGGUGAGAGGUCGUGCUUCCCCAGGACACGGGCAGCAGCCUGGAGAGAGGAGUCUCAGAGGGUAACCCUGCUCUUCUCAAAUAUGGAAAGCUCCUAUGUGGAAGGGCAGUGAGUGGGAUUUAUCUUUUUCUGGGGAUUCCAGAUGGCAGAAAAUUAGGCCCACACUGCUGAGCGGGAUUUGAGUGUGAGAAUCCAAGUACAGAAGCUGAAUUUGGGAAAAUAGUCUUGCUAAAGAAAGUGGCAGAUUUUCCCAAUUCCACAUUUUGGAAGUAUCAAGAGCUGUUUCAUGAGAUAAGCUGGCGAGAGGAAAUAGACUACUCUGGUAGGAAACUAGAGCAGGUGGGCAGGAGUGACUUUCCU